rnacentral:rRNA from 1 species
GUUAAAAAGCUCGUAGUUGGAUCUCAACAGCCUUGAAGCGGUUAACUUUGUAGUUUUACUGCUUUAUAGGCUGUGCUUUUGCUGGAGGUUUAGGGGUGCUCUUGAUCGAGUGUCUCUGGAUGCCAGCAGGUUUACUUUGAAAAAAUUAGAGUGCUCAAAGCAGGCUAAAAUGCCUGAAUAUUCGUGCAUGGAAUAAUAGAAUAGGAUGUCGAUCCUAUUUUGUUGGCUUUCGGGACUCGACAUAAUGAUAAAUAGGGACAGUCGGGGGCAUUUGUAUUCAAACGACAGAGGUGAAAUUCUUGGACCGUUUGAAGACAAACUACUGCGAAAGCAUUUGCCAAGAAUGUUUUCAUUAAUCAAGAACGAAAGUUAGAGGUUCGAAGGCGAUUAGAUACCGCCCUAGUUCUAACCAUAAACGAUGCCAGCUAGCGAUCUGCCUGCGUUUUUACUGUAGACUGGGCAGGAAGCUUCCGGGAAACCAAAGCAU